rnacentral:rRNA from 1 species
ACGGGUGAGUAACACGUGGGCAACCUGCCUGUAAGACUGGGAUAACUUCGGGAAACCGAAGCUAAUACCGGAUAGGAUCUUCUCCUUCAUGGGAGAUGAUUGAAAGAUGGUUUCGGCUAUCACUUACAGAUGGGCCCGCGGUGCAUUAGCUAGUUGGUGAGGUAACGGCUCACCAAGGCAACGAUGCAUAGCCGACCUGAGAGGGUGAUCGGCCACACUGGGACUGAGACACGGCCCAGACUCCUACGGGAGGCAGCAGUAGGGAAUCUUCCGCAAUGGACGAAAGUCUGACGGAGCAACGCCGCGUGAGUGAUGAAGGCUUUCGGGUCGUAAAACUCUGUUGUUAGGGAAGAACAAGUACGAGAGUAACUGCUCGUACCUUGACGGUACCUAACCAGAAAGCCACGGCUAACUACGUGCCAGCAGCCGCGGUAAUACGUAGGUGGCAAGCGUUAUCCGGAAUUAUUGGGCGUAAAGCGCGCGCAGGCGGUUUCUUAAGUCUGAUGUGAAAGCCCACGGCUCAACCGUGGAGGGUCAUUGGAAACUGGGGAACUUGAGUGCAGAAGAGAAAAGCGGAAUUCCACGUGUAGCGGUGAAAUGCGUAGAGAUGUGGAGGAACACCAGUGGCGAAGGCGGCUUUUUGGUCUGUAACUGACGCUGAGGCGCGAAAGCGUGGGGAGCAAACAGGAUUAGAUACCCU